UAUAUUUAUAAUUUCUCAAGCAUUUUUGCUGUGAUCUGCUUGGUGCAGGCAGAGCCUGGAGCAGAGGGACUUUCUGACUCGCUCGGAUUUUCUCAACUCUGUGGAAAACCGGGACGGUCAAGGUAAUGUUUUUCCAAAUUUUUAUUUUUAUUUUUCUUUUUUUCCUAUCAUCACGACAGGCACUGAUCUCGGCCAGGGGGAGCCCCGAGCGCCCCUCACGGGCCGCGCCCCGCCCUCAGCUCCGCGGUAACCGCGCUGUUGUGCCGAGCGGGGCCGCGGCGCCGGGAGAGAUGGACCGCUCAGAUGAAGCAACUUCCAGUAAACGGACUUUGAGAACCUUGUUUCGUCCCCCUGCUUUACCUCCACCAGUCGUAUCUGAAGAGUCACCAUCACAGAAGAAACUGCUGGCAUACUACAAAGGCAAGGAGGAGCAAAAGAUCAUUAAUCAGAUACUAAUUGAUCGAGCUCUUGAAGUCUAUUACAUUGACAUGGAUGAAAGAGAGGAGAGAGAUGCUGCACCUCCUAUCACAGAACUGCCUUCUACUGUGAGAAAGUAUUUCUUUAUUAAGUAUUUUCUAUUUAGUUCUUUGUUAUUGGGACAUUUAUUUUCCUUCUUAGAAUUUACUUCAAGA
rnacentral:lncRNA from 1 species